rnacentral:lncRNA from 1 species
GCUACUAGAGGACGCCCGUUCCAAUGGCAACUCUGCCAAGGCGCCUAUGAGAGCCUCUUGGCUUUUACCUGGUCUGCGAGAAAUCAAACUUUGGGCACAAGUCAUGAAGCCGACAAGCCCGGGAGACACAGUGUCAGAAUUACAAGGAACACUACAAGGCCUGUUAGAGAAGAAAGGGUAGAAUCCCGAGAAUGUUUUCCCCACAGUGCUGAUAAGGAGAGACCACUAUCCCAUCUACUGCUACAGCUCUGGAGACAGAGCUCUCCCACCUGUCAUAUAGAACACAAGGACCAAUCUGCAGAGAAAGAGCAUCCAAACCUGAUCCAGUGGACACUGGGGAAAAACUCACCACAGCUGAGUGUGGAAAAACAAGGCCAACACACACAUCUCUGCACAGAUACAUCUCCCAUAAAGAAACUAAAGUGUUAAUUUACAGGGCACUGUUGCAGACCCACUUCAGCUGGAAGCUAGGAACAUGGACAAGGAGCCUCUCUACCACCAAGGGAGAGAGAGGAAUGUGCUCUUGUCCUGGCAUUGCAUCCACAGGAGGGGCAGGAAAUUCUUUGAAGGUCAGUAACCCCAUACCCCAAUUAACAGUGCUUAAGUGUGAGGCUCCCUCAGAACAUCAGAGAUAUCCUCACUCCCUCACCCCUGCCACCAGGCUAAGAAGCAUGG